rnacentral:misc_RNA from 1 species
AAAAAAAAAAAAAAAAAAAGAGCGCAUUUUGAGCAACUUGAAAUCAAGAGUAAAUAAUGAAAUGAGACUAAUAAUAACAGUAAUUAUCUAACUUCAGAAUAUUAUUUCACAAGGCUAUCAUAUGCAUUCUGAAUUGUAUAGCAUUCAUAUAUAAACAGUUCUCUUAGGAGCUGCAAACUCCAAUUGUCAUCAAAAUAGCUCCUCCACCUCCUCGUCCUGAUUAUCUCUUGGUUGUUGUUAUAAAUUGCAUCUGAUCUCCAUGUGUCC